CAGGUGUUUCAGAUGAGUUCUCCGGAAUUUGGACCUCCUACUCUUGGGUUGAAGGUGGACGUAAUACGAGGGUCUGGUCCCCCAUACCUUGAGGACUCCGCUGCCCUCUGACAAUUACAGACAAUCCAAUUGUCCUCAUCCUUGAGGACUCUGCUGCCAUCUGACAAUUAGAGACAGUCCAAAACAUGCCACACUUUGAUCCUAAACACAUUCCUGGCUUUGGUCACUUUUGAAAAGUUCCUGAGUUAUGAGAAAUCAAUAAUAAGAGUGUUCAAAACCUGAACACUCUUUUUAGAAAUACCUGCUGGAACUACAUAUAUGAUUUAUGGGGUACUGUCUUGUAGUAUCUGGGAAAGUAGACCCAUCUAACCUGGAAUGAUCAUAGGCAACAAUGACCAAAAAUGGGGAUCUUUUGAUAUACCUAAAGUAAUUUAUUUGUGCACACCAUUGGAAAGAGCUGGUUUUAGAACCAGACAUGUAAAUAAGAGACUUACUUCCACUGGCACCUAAAAACUUCUAAAAGAAAUCCUGAAAGAAAAAGUCACCUUCAUUCAAGAGGAAAUUCAUAGAAUAGGAUCCUGACAAGUACUCUUGAAUACACGUUUCUGAUAACUUCGGAUAUCAUAUCAUUGGACUAAGUAACAACUUUCAGGUAUGUAAUAAACUGAUGUGUUCCUUAGAUUGCUAACUCAACAUCAAGCAGAACACGA
rnacentral:lncRNA from 1 species